GACGAACGCUGGCGGCGUGCUUAACACAUGCAAGUCGAACGGAAAGGCCCUGCUUUUGUGGGGUGCUCGAGUGGCGAACGGGUGAGUAACACGUGAGUAACCUGCCCUUGACUUUGGGAUAACUUCAGGAAACUGGGGCUAAUACCGGAUAGGAGCUCCUGCUGCAUGGUGGGGGUUGGAAAGUUUCGGCGGUUGGGGAUGGACUCGCGUCUUAUCAGCUUGUUGGUGGGGUAGAGGCUUACCAAGGCUUUGACGGGUAGACGGCCGGAGAGGGUGACCGGCCACACUGGAACUGGAACACGGUCCAGACUCCUACGGGAGGCAGCAGUGGGGAAUAUUGGACAAUGGGCGCAAGCCUGAUCCAGCCAUACCGCGUGGGUGAAGAAGGCCUUCGGGUUGUAAAGACCUUUUGUUGGGAAAGAAAAGCUGCAGGUUAAUACCCCGCUGUUCUGACGGUACCCAAAGAAUAAGCACCGGCUAACUUCGUG
rnacentral:rRNA from 1 species